rnacentral:lncRNA from 1 species
AUAACUUAACUUGAGUUCUUCUACGAACCAAACGAACCCAAGAUGGGGAAACAAAAUCUGAAAACGACGGACGGAUGGACGGACUGACGCACUCCUCUGCAGCAGGGUGGAAGGAGGAGGCGGCGGCGGGCGCUCAUGGGCGCCCGGAUCGGCAAAACUAAAGCGAUACUCUGAGAGAGACACAGUGAGAGGUUUCUUAGGCGAGAUCUAGAAGGGGGGAGGCGGCGCCAUCAGACCAGCAGGUGGUGGAGCGAUCCGAUCUGAUCUGGCGGGACGGGGCCCGGACCGGGACCCACCUUACGUGGGGCAGUCGCGGGCGAUGU